rnacentral:rRNA from 1 species
UACGGAGGGUGCAAGCGUUAAUCGGAAUUACUGGGCGUAAAGCGUGCGCAGGCGGUUUUGUAAGACAGGCGUGAAAUCCCCCGAGCUCAACUUGGGAAUUGCGCUUGGGACUGCAAGGCUAGAGUGUGUCAGAGGGGGGUAGAAUUCCACGUGUAGCAGUGAAAUGCGUAGAGAUGUGGAGGAAUACCGAUGGCGAAGGCAGCCCCCCUGGGACAUGACUGACGCUCAUGCACGAAAGCGUGGGGAGCAAACAGG